ACGGAGGGUGCAAGCGUUAUCCGGAUUCACUGGGUUUAAAGGGCGCGCAGGCGGCUAUGUAAGUCCGGCGUGAAAUCCCAUGGCUUAACUGUGGAACUGCGUCGGAAACUGCAUUGGCUUGAGGUUGGUAGAGGCCAUUAGAACUAGCGGUGUAGCGGUGAAAUGCGCAGAUAUCGCUAGGAAUGCCGGUGGCGAAGGCGGAUGGCUGGGCCAAUCCUGACGCUGAGGCGCGAAAGCUAGGGGAGCGAACCGGA
rnacentral:rRNA from 1 species